CAAUAGCGUAUAUUAAAGUUGUUGCAGUUAAAAAGCUCGUAGUUGGAUUUCUGGUAGGAGCGACCGUGCCGAACUUGAUUGUUCGAGUAUUGUGUUGUCUUCAGCCAUCCUCGUGGAGAACUUUUCUAACAUUAACUUGUUGGGAUUGGGACCCGCGUCGUUUACUGUGAAAAAAUUAGAGUGUUUAAAGCAGGCAUUAGCUUGAAUACAUUAGCAUGGAAUAAUAAGAUAGGACUUUGGUACUAUUUUGUUGGUUUGCGUACCAAAUUAAUGAUCAACAGGAACAGUUUGAGGAUAUUCGUAUGAACAUGUCAGAGGUGAAAUUCUUGGAUUUUGAUCAGACGAACUACUGCGAAAGCAUUUAUCAAGGAUGUUUUCAUUAA
rnacentral:rRNA from 1 species